rnacentral:lncRNA from 1 species
GUUAUAUGCAGUACUGAAGAGCAACUUCAGCUAUUGAGAGUUACACCUCAAUGCAACCUCCUGGCAGGCCAGCCUUAAGCCCAGCAGUCCCACCAUGCAUCUAAGCUGCGUUCUCAUCAGACCCAACUUCAAUUAUAAACAACUGAGAUGAUGCCAGAGGCCAGAAUCCCUGAGAACCCAAUUUGCUGUCAUCACCAUGGCUGAAACAAGGCACUUGGCAUCUAGAAAAGCUGAUCUGUAGGAAAUUUCCAAUAGAGUUCAAUUUUUCUAAGUUUAAAGUGUACAAUAUCAUCAAGGUCAGACACUCGAGAUAAAACUAGGCUUGUGUUUAAAUAUAAUAAAAAUAUUUGAAGAAUAGUAAGAGUGGUGACUACUUUUACACAGGAAUGUUUUAAAUAAAUUGUUUUUUUCUGGUGCCUUUUAAAUUUUGUGAUUUGUCAAUGAGAUGCUGAUAUAUUUUUAAUGAAGUAUGCCUUGUAAAAUAAUAAGUGAAUGAAAAAUACACAGUAAUAUUCACAUCAACAAAGCUAGAAGAAGACUGUAUGUCUCAAGAGGCUCCAUCAUCUACCCAGUGGCCACUUGACCAAAUUAAGAUCCAAAUACCAAAAAGAAAAGUAAUUAAAAUUUGUGUUGUAUGCCUUAUAAGACCAAACCUAUAAAAUGAGGGGAAACUUCACAAUUACUUGUAAUUUGCUCUGUGGAAUUGUAACAGAUGGAUUAUAAAGAUGAUUCCAUGAUAAACAUCUAAAUGUGGUUACUAC